UCGUCGAAAUCGCCGAAUUCCGCCCUGGGGGCGGAAGCGGGGGACCCAACAGCCGGUCACCCGGUACGGGGCGCAUCGCCGCAAGGCGUAGGGCAAUCUCUUCGGCCCGAGCCCGUCAGCUAACCUCGCAGGCGUCGAAGGGAGAGCAC
rnacentral:sRNA from 2 species